rnacentral:rRNA from 1 species
UACGUAGGGUGCGAGCGUUGUCCGGAAUUACUGGGCGUAAAGAGCUCGUAGGUGGUUUGUCGCGUUGUCCGUGAAAACUCACAACUCAAUUGUGGGCGUGCGGGCGAUACGGGCAGACUGGAGUACUGCAGGGGAGACUGGAAUUCCUGGUGUAGCGGUGAAAUGCGCAGAUAUCAGGAGGAACACCGGUGGCGAAGGCGGGUCUCUGGGCCGAAACUGACGCUGAGGAGCGAAAGCGUGGGGAGCGAACAGG